rnacentral:misc_RNA from 1 species
AACCAUUCUCACCUGCGGCUAGACCUGCGGAAGGAUCAUUACCGAGUUUACAACUCCCAAACCCCUGUGAACAUACCUAUAUGUUGCCUCGGCGGAUCAGCCCGCGCCCCGUAAAACGGGACGGCCCGCCGCAGGAUCCACAAACUCUGUUUUUAUUGUAACUUCUGAGUAACAAAACAAAUAAAUCAAAACUUUCAACAACGGAUCU